rnacentral:lncRNA from 1 species
ACAAAUUCAUAAAAAAAUAUUGUCUCCCAACACCCAAUUUUUUUCCAAACACCAUCCAAACCUUGAUUUAUGUCAGAUACACUAACAGUUUUGUUUUCGAGCUUUCAAAUAUGGAAUUCGGGUAGCAUAAUAGAAAAUCCUUGAGCCCACACACUAAAGAUAUAUAAAUAAACAAUGAGCAGAACCAGAUUACGAGUUCACAUCAAGAUUUCCUCUCAGAUCCAAAAAUGAUAUAUUUCUUGAAGUACGAAAUUGUUCAAAUCAAAAAAUCGAUAUCAAUAUCAAAUUUAAAAUUUGAAGUGCGAUUGAGUACCUUAAUAGAUUGAAUCCUGUGAAUGCGUCAAAGUAAAUUUCUUUCCGACAAAUAGAUGCAGGAAAACCCUAAUCUCUCUCUCUCCCUCCCUCUCUCUAUCUGGUCAGCUUACCAUUUGUGUUUGAUUUGUU